AGCUAUCAAAGCCUAUUCAUCUUUGAAAUGUUUCAAAAGUUUCCUCUUCCAGUCCUUGCAAUUACCAGGUCAGAAACUUAUCACCUGGAGUUCUGAAAGGGUCUCCUAUCUCUUGUCUCAUCACAUGAAUGUUCUUCACAGGCCACUCAUCCUGGUUGCCCAUGCCCAUUCACCUUUCCAAAACGUAGAUUUUCCUCAUUGUCCCAUGUUCAGAAUUCCCCACAUCUUAUAGGCUGAUACACAGAUUCCUCAGUUUGGAAGUCAUGCCCCAGCCACACAAUUUUCAUCAUUUUUAUCCAUUAAUCCCAGUAGGAACUUUGAGAAGAAGCCAGGCUAACCUGCUUUGCCCCUGAAGUCAUCCAGCCAGCAGCCGAUGUAGUUUCCUCUCCUGAUCUUUUCAUCCCUUAUCUCUGUCUCUCCAGUUAUUACUCAUCUUUUAAGAGUCAUGUUCAGGUCCUAUCUCCUCCUGGAGCCUCUUUCAGUCUCCGCUCAUCCCGCCAUGUCCAGACCCUUAGAUCCAUGUGCCACCAGAGGAGCUCACAGCUCCUACCUCACUAUUUUGUCUCUUCUUUUAGAGAAUAAGCAUGAGCUUUAGCAUUGUCAGACAGUACUAGAUGAGAUGGUCAUGUCUGCUAUUGAACAAGUCUUGCCUUGGACGAGUUUCUUAACCUGUCUGAGCCUCAGACUACUCAUCUGCACAGCAACUGUGAAGGUUUGAGGUGCCAGCCAUGGUAACGACCCAGAGACUGAUAAACGUUGGUCUCUACAAUUAUAAGUUCAUUGUGUCAAAUUAUUUAAUAAAAUGUAAUGAACUAGAAGUGGGAGAGUGAAAUCUCAAUACCAGUACAAGGAUUACUAGUGAUAACCUAGUAUGACCAUCCCAUAUUACCUACUAAGUCCAUCCAUUGCUUCUUGCAGACAGAGUUCUUCUGUUCCAGACAGGGCUGUCUCUCCUGUGUCCUGCAUCUGCUUGCUCACCCCGUGUGGUACCUUUGCUGGUGGUGAUCAUCUGCUUAGCAUACCUCCCCUCUUCUCCCCAAGAGUCCAAAUUCUGUUUCCUUAAAGGCCCAGUUGAAAACAUACAGCCAUUAAGGAAUGUCUGGCCUCCCUGUAGUGAUACUACCCUUGCUUUGAAGUGCCCGUUACUUUGUAUGGCAAGGUCACAUACUUGCUCUUACUCUCCAGUUGCCCACUUUCAUGUCAGUCCUCUGGACCCCACCAACCCUAAGCUCAUGCAGAUCAGGGAGCAUGUUAUCUUUAGUACUCCAUAAUAGUCAGCUUGUAUUUUUGAAAGCUGAUGGUAUAGUGGGCAGAGAGGAUACAGGGUGAUAAAACAAGCUCACAUUUCGUCAUUCAGGAAAUCUAAUGAGCCCUGGUUGCAGAUUCUGUGUGAGACACUGUGAAUUGAGAAUUCAGUGGGACACAGUCCCUGGUGUACUCAAGGACACUACUAAUGCUCUGUGAAGCUCAAAACGCUGCAUGUUUUCACUAACUGCUUGUGGAAAGGAUGAAUGCCCAAAAAGACCGAUUUCCUCCCCAGUCAGCAGUUACUUAGCUGCUUUCUCUGAGUCAGGCACUGUCUAUACCACAGAGAAAGAGAGACAGAGAACCUAUUCCAUAGAGCUUUUGUUUUACAGAAAGUGGGGUCGAAGAACCAGACAGUAUGGAAGUAACUAAACAUGAAGAUAUUCAAUAAGGACUAUGAACAAUCAAUGGGGGGGAUGUGUUUGGAAGGGUUAGAGAGAGCCACCUUCAGUAGGUAAUGUUUAGGCUGAGGUGAGUGACAAGAAGGUCCUGGCCAUAUGAAGGGUGAGCAUGAAGAGCAGAGAACAGUGGGUAGAAGGCACCCAGCUGGAGAGAGGGUAGAAUGCUGGAUUGCUCAGUGCCUUAAAGUGGAGCGACGUCAUUUGAUACGUGUCUUUGAAGAUAGCUCAGGCCACUGAAUGGAGAGUGGAUCAUUGGGAGAAUAUGAGUAGACAUAUACAGCCCAGGUAGAAGGCAUGGAGAGAGUGGCAUUCAUGGGUAAGAGCUUGUGGGUACAGGCUAUACUGGUGGGUGGAGAGAGGGAGAAACUAUCUGUAUGCAACAUACUCCAAAAAGCCUCUCUCAGAUGGGAAGAGCAUGGGUUUGGAGUUAGGCAGACCCGAGUCCCAGUUUGAACUCAGCUACUUAACAUUUGUGAAUCUUUAAACCUUGCCUAGUCCCAGGUUUUUUAUAUGUGAAAGUAGAUGAGAUGUCCCAUUAUAAGUUUUGUUGAGGGGUUUGCAAUCAGAGCACUAUCACCAGGCAGUGAUAAUAGUUCAUCAAGUGACAUUUCUCUUCCCCACUUAAGGGAGUUUAAUUCUGAAUAUUAAUUAUAAUUAUUAAGUAAUGGUACUUAGAAAUUGAAUAGUUCAUUGUGAGCACAUGAAAUAACAUCUACUGUAAUGAGUGUGAAUAAUAAUACUUCACAGUAGUAGCUCAGCCUGUAGUGACCUCAGAGUCCAUUAGCAGGCUCUUGAACCUGUCACCUGGGGGAUCUCUGUCAAAAUGUCAGGCCCUCACCAGCACAGAAAGGAAAAAAGUCCUUUCUGCCAUGUGGGAGUGAGAAGAAAGGGGGAGGGGAGAGAACUGACCUGCAUUAAGCAGCACCAUGUAGCAGACAGUUCUGGUGCUUUACCUGCAUAGUAGUCUCAGUCCCCACAAGAACUUAUGAGGUGGCGUUAUCCCCUCCCUCCGUUCAAUGAGGAAUAAGGCGGCAGAGUUGAGGCAUUUCUACCCAUUACUCAGCAAAUAUGUAUUGCUCACUGUGGCAAGGAUAGUGGGCAAUACAUAUUUGAGUAAUUAAGGUGAGGUUCUUAUGGAAUUUACAUUUGCAUGAAAGAGAUUUACCAAAGAAUUCAUCGUAUACAUAUUAGUUAAUUGCACUUGUAAUGCUUUUUGACUAUUCUACAUAGGUGGGAUUUUACCCAGUAAGACCUUAAUUUUCAAUCUUUUGGCUGAAACGUCACUUCUGGAGCCUGAUGGCUUCCAUAAUGCCCUAGAUUCCUGCACUGUCAACGUUAUUUUCCAGUUCGCUGUGGUUGCUUGUGUAAUUACCUGGCUUCCUCUCUAGACUUUGUGAGGCCAAGUCUAUGCCUGUCUUGUUCAGCAUACCCUGCUGACUGGCCAGGUGCCUGACGUGGAGAUUGAUGAAGGCUAGGAUUGAAGUGGUAACUGUGAAAGCAUUCCCUAGACUGCAUAAUGGAACAUGAGAGGGGCCUCAGAGAUGAUUCCUGAGUUUGGGGUGUGGAGAUGGAGAUUAGUCACUGACAUCAGUAUAGAAGUCAGGGAAUGGAACUGGCCUACCACAGUGGAAUGAUGGUGAAUUUGAUUGCAGAUUGGCUUAUUGUGGCAGGGACUUCAGGGUGGAAUUGUUUGUUGGAGAGGAACUUAAAAGUUUGGUGUACAUAUAUGUUUUGGAGUUUUGGUCAGUACCGAUUGUUGAUACUAUAAUCCUUUGUGACUUCUAAGGGAGUAUAGUAGAUCAAUGCCUGGGCAUUGAGGAAUAUACAGGAAAUACAUAUUGCAUGGGCUUUUCAUGCCUACUAGGUGCCCCAUUGCCAAACAAAUGAAUUGGAUUCAAACCAUUUCUCCUGGGUUGAAGAGAAACUGGUCACACAUCUUCCAUGAAAUAAUCUUUCUUUUACUUAAGAAAAAUGUUACAUAUAUUCAAUUUUGGGUAUCAGAUUUAACCAUUUAUUUAGCACAUAACUACUGAGCACCUACUGUGCACCACAUACUUUUCUAGGUGCUGAGAAUGCAAUCAACCACAAAGUAUAAUCUUGACUUUAUGUUCUGGUGCUGGGAGUUACAUAAAAAGCAGAGAAGUAUGUUUAUAUAUGCAAAUGGUGGUAAGUGCUGUAGAGAAAAAAAUAGAAUGGUAAUUUAGGUGCACAAUCCUUUAUUCUAAAUUCUUGGUACCAGAUGUAGUUCAUACUGUCUGUUAAUAUCCCUAGUGGUAUCUGGACCAACACUCCGUAAUAAAAUAUUUUAGAAGCAAUGAUCACAGGUAGCCUCAUGUCAUCUUAGUUCAACUUUUGUUGCCCAAUGAGUUAAGAUCAAGUUUUGCUAUCGAAUGAAAUGAGUUAAAAGCCUUAUUUCAAUUUAGUUUAGGUUGUUGUUUUUAAAUUUUCAGAGCUAACAUGUAGUUCUUAACCAAAAGUUCCAGGCACAGUUCUAAGCACUACAUAUAUGUAUGUGUAUAAAUUCAUGCAAUCCUCAUAGCAGUUUUACAGUGUAUCCAUUAAUCCCCUUUCAGAUGGGAGAACUGAAGCACAGAGAGGUUAAACAAGGUGCCCAAGAACCUAGCGUCUCCACCUUCAACCACUGUCCUGUAGGGUAUGAGUGCCGGGGUUGGGGAGGGAGACUGCUCCUUAAAGAAGAAGGCCAGGGAAGGCCUCCUGAUGUGGUGACAUCCAUCCAGAGACCUGAAAGAAGUAAAGGAAGAGCCAUGUAAAUGGGUAGCUGAAGGAAAGCAUUCCUGUGCGGGGUGGGGAGUGGGAAUAUGCUUGUUGUGUUUGA